rnacentral:lncRNA from 1 species
UCACAUUCCCUCUCUCUCACACACUAAUUCACUGCAAUUUUUAGAAAGUCCUUUUCAUUCAUCUUCUUUCUUAUUUUUCAACAGAAGAAUAUCUUUCCUGGAAUUCCAGCCUUAAAUUUCAGAAAAAGAAAAAAAAAAGUUUCUCAGUUUCCUUCAUUUUUUGCUAUUUGAUUUUCAUUUUUUUGGGUUAUGAAGUUUAGUUUAGCUUCAUUUUUGUUGUUCACUGUUGCUGUAUCAACCUGUAGCUGCCUCCUAAUUCUAGCUGUGCUGCUCAAAAUCAGAGGCUAUUUUCUUCUUCUUUGCUUUGUUGCUUUUAAGGUACUAGCUUCGAUCUCUUUUCUAUGUAUCAGUUGUUUAAAUGCUAUAGUAUUGAGAACUUGCAACCAUGGGUUAUUUAUGUAUUCCAUAAGUGUUUCUUGUAGUAAUUAAUCAUUUCUGUGUUCGAACAAGUGCAUUUUUUCUGUGUUUAUUUGCAAAUUUCCAAUCAGAUCUGGAAUAAGUUUCUAGUAUGUAAAGCUAGUAUGAAUUUGGACAAAAUUGCAUAUGGUGUGUUGAUUAUGUUUGAAAAUAGGUGUUGUGAUUUAAGAAGUUUACAUGAAAGUAUUUUGAGAUACCAUUAAUCAUUAGUCAGAAAUGGAAGUGGAAUUAAAUUUUUUUAGGUGAAGUAAAGCAGAGAAUAUUGUUCAUUUCAAGCCUUCUUGUCUCUGAUUAGCACUUAACUGGAUCUGGAAGUUUGAAGGAGGAAUAUGGAAUUGUGCACGUGAUUGACCUAACCCAAUUGAUUUAACUUUAGUUUAGAAUUUAAAGAUAAUAUCUUCCUAUAAAAUUAGUGUUCUGUAUAAAGAAACAUAGACAUGUUGAUCAUUUCAGUUUAUUCAUUGUUGUAAUUAAUCAAUAGACAAAUAGUUGUGAAGUUGCCUCUGCUUCUCGUUGUUUUAAGAUGUUACAUCCGUCAGUUCUGGGUUUUCAAAGUUUGAUUCAAUUUGUUAGUUGCUUUUGUUGUUGAUACUCCCCUGUUGAGAUCCAGCGCUCCAUUUGAUUAGCCUCUAGUUGUCUUCUCAACUUGUUUUGGAACACUAAAUGCACACAUAAUCUCCUACACUUAUGUUCGAGCUGAAUCACUUAGCCUCCCUCAUUGAUCGAAUGUCGAAUUUGUGCUCCUGUUAUAGCGUAAUUCAACUAUUUUCUGGUAGUACCUUACUAGUUGGAUCGUAAAUAGUUUAAAAGUAAUGCAAACUUGAUUAUUGUUUGGACCCAUGAAUUAAUUUAGUAGUUGUGUUAAAACUAGUAAGUUGUUUCGUAUAUGUUAGCGUUAAGUUAACAGGUUAUUGUAAUGAACAAAUUCCUAUGCAUAAAGACUCCCUGUUUAAGAUCCAUACCCAUUUGUUUCCGUUUUAAUCGAGUCCCAUAAUUCUUCCAAAAAUGAUGUCCAUACUUCAAUAUCUCACAACAAUCCCAAAUGUAGGUUAUAACAUUUCGAACAAUUAUAGUUUGCUCUAGGCGCGUUUAAAUAAAUCAUCGUGACUAUGGAUACGGUUUCCAUGGCAUAGUCGCGAUACAUAAAUCCCAAUUCGAGUGCGCGUUUCACGCGACUCUACCAUAACUUCAAAUAACAAUAAUAAACAUGUUGUAAGUAGUAAGUGCAUUUCACGUGAUGUGAUUCACAAUAUGUACAAAAACAACGAGUGCGCGACAUCGCGACUUGUUCAAAUAAAUUCCAUAAAUUAAAAGCGGUAUAGAAGAGUAAAAUGCACAAUAUGUCAAAAAUAUGUAAUAAAUCAGAUAAUUACGCCAAGUAUUAAUUGUUAAGCGACUCUGCUAAAACCACAAAAUUCGGGAGUGCCUCACACCUUCUCAUGGGUUAACAUAUUUCCCUACCCGGUCUUCUACGUUCGCAGACCAUAAAUAAAGUCAAUUUCCUCGAUUUGAAUUUCUAAAAUAAACCGGUGACUUGGGACACCAUCAUAAUUAUUCCAAGUGGCGACUCUGAAUUAAAUAAAUAAUCUCAUUUCGAAUAAUGUCACUUUAAUUGGAAAAAACUCCUCUAUUCUUCGAAAAAAUAAGGUGUGACAAGUUCGUAAUGAGUAUGAUGAAAGAGCUAACAUUCUUUUUUGGACUCCAAAUUCAUCAAUCAGAAAGUGCGAAAUUCAUCUGCCAAGCCAAAUAUACGAAGGAAUUGAUUCAAAAGUUUGGAAUGAGCAAUGCCAAAUCAAUUGGAACUCCUAUGAGCCCCUCUACAAGUUUAGACAAGGAUGAACAAGAAAAAUCAGUAUAUGAUACAAAGUAUCGUGGAAUGAUUGAAUCUCUAUUAUAUAUAACUACUAGUAGACCAUAUAUCAUGUUCAGUAUUUGUAAAUGUGCCAGAUUUCAGUCAGUUCCUAAGGAGUCACACUUAACUACAGUAAAGCGAAUAAUUGGCUAUCUCAUUGGGACCACUUCUUAUGGACUUUGGUAUCCAUGCUCUAACAAUUUUAAACUUGAGGGAUUUUCAGAUGCUGAUCUUGCAGGUAACAAGGAAGAUAGAAAAAGCACAAGUGGCACUUGUCAAUUACUGGAUAAGGCAUUAAUCUCCCGAAACAGUAAGAAAUAGGGAUCAAUAGCUCUUUCACAACUGAAGCAGAGUACAUUAUAAUUGGACAAUAUUGUGCUUAAUUACUAUGGAUGUCACAUCAAUUGGGUGACUAUGAAUUAUCUUUUAAACCUGUUCAAAUAUUCUGUGAUAAUUCUAGUGCUAUUUGUCGGUCUAAAAAUCCUGUGCAUCAUUUUAGAGCUAAGCAUAUAGAUAUUAAACAUCAUUUUAUUAGAGAUCGUGUUCUUAAAGGUAACAUAGAGUUAUCAAUUGUAAGCUCUACUGAUCAAUUAACAGAUAUUUUUACAAAACCCUUGCUUGAAAACAGAUUAUGUACAUUACGAGACUCUUUUGGCAUUAUUUCCAUUAAUUCAUAAUUUUAAGGCCUUUGUGAUAUUUUUUAUUUUUACCGUCACUCAAUCUGUAUAUUUCCUUAUGUGUGUAGGGCAUUAAUUGUGUGUCUUUUACUUUUCCUUUUUCACACAUUUUCAUGCCUUUUCAGAAAUCAAUAAAUCAUAGCGUCGAAUUACUGACGCCUUUUCGUCUGUACUCAACCGCCAGUUAUCAUCUUUUUAAAUCCAAGUCUCAUCAAUCAUUCUCACAUUAUUUGUAUCUCCAUUCCUCUUCUCCAAACCCUACUAUGGCGAAAAAUUACAAAAAUCCCUCUGCUUCAACCUGCAAAAGCACUCGUUCUAGAGCAAAACCCUCCUCUCAAUCUCUUAAACCAGUUAAUCUAGGAUCAGACCAUUCUGAGGAUUUUGCCUCUUCUCAAGACCUCUCAGAUGAUGCGUGCAGUCUCAACGAAAAAGUCCUUGGAAAACGACCCAUGGAAUAUCCGCAAAAGCACUUAUUCUAGAGCAAAACCCUCCUCUCAACCUUCUAAGCCAGUUAAUCUAGGAUCAGACCACUCUGAGGAUUUUGCCUCUUCUCAAGACCUCUCAGAUGGUGCAUGCAGUCUCAACAAAAAAACCCUAGGAAAACGACCCAUGGAAGAUUCCCCUGAAACCUUCACUCCCAAAAAUCCUAAAACUGAUAUGUGAAGUUCUCUCGAGUCUGACCUAAAUUUUUGGGACACACGCAACAAGGAUGACUUCAUUGCUUUCAAAGACAAGCAUGUAGCCCAUGGAUGGAAAAACUUUCUCUGCUUGCCUCCUCCAGAGGUAUAUGAACCCCUUGUUAAACUGUUCUAUGCUAAUCUUCGCUUUAGCAAACCUGACAAGUUAGAAACCUUAGUUCUUGGCAAACGCAUUGUGUUGGACUGUGCUCUGUUUGACCCUAUUUUUCAGUGUAGUUGUUCUGGUUUCUCUAUGAUUUUUAAGAAUACCUAGCCUGAGGAUUUUAAAAUUUCUUUUGAUCAAGCAAAAAGGUGUAUAGCUGAGUCACCCUCUGAUUCCCUUCCCAGUCAACUAGGACCUAGUGAUGUUUGUUUUGAAACUCAUGUCUUAGCACAUAUUGUGGCAACCACUCUUCUUCCAAGAACAUGAUCCUUCUCUACUUUCUCCCUGAUACCUUCCUAAUUUACUAUCUUCUGACUAAACAUAAGGUCAAGUUGUUUUCUUGGGUUAUCAAUUUUAUGAUAGAGAGUGCCGAUGAUCCCACGAGUCUUCCAUAUGGUAUGGUCACCACCCAUCUGCUAGAAGCCAACAACAUAUCUCUUGUCGACUAUCCCUAUAUCACUGUCACCAAGUCUUACAACUCUAGGGGAUUUGCUAGCAUGUGAUAUAUUUCUGUAAAAGGAGCUUGGGUAAAGAAGCAAGAAGGUGAAUCCAAGAAUAUCCCCUCCGACUCAAAAGCGAAAACCUCUGUGUCUCUUCCCAGUAUUGGUAAUCCUGAUCUUUUAGAAAAGAUAGCCUUCAUCAAUGAAAAAUUAACUGUCAUCAAGGACUCUUUAACCUUAAUGCAAAGCACAAUUGAAGAUGUCCAUGGAGUGGUAAAGGAGACAGGCUCUGACGUGUCCAAGAUCCGAGUGCAAAUUCGUAAGAUUGCGGAAAAAAUAGUAAAGACUUUUAAAGAGGUGCACGACAAAAUUGAUGGAAUCUCUGUCAUAGUGAAUGGAAGUUUUGAUCGCCUCAAGGAGGCUAUUUGCAAUACCCAUACUUACUUUCUGCGAUGUUGAUGCAUGGUUGUUUAAGGUAAUUUUUUUUAUUUUGCUUCUUUUGAGACUGACGGUUCAGUCAUAGGUUGUACUAUUAGGACAAUUACUUCUGUUCUGUAUGCUAAAGUAGGUUAUAACUUUUUGUUGAUGCCAAAGAGGGAGAAAAAGCAGGCUUAUGGGCACGUGUUCCUCUGUAUUCCCUAUUCAAUGUGGUUGUUUUGUAAAUUUUCUUGCAGAUGUUUAACUUGCAGGUACAUCAUACAGUAUAAUACUGAGGGGGAGUCGACUACAACCACUGCAUAAUAGAAUGUCCAGCUGAAAGGGAGUCGACUAGACACAUCUAACAAGAAACACAGUUUGAGGGGGAGUUGACUACAACACACUCAAAGUCAACUGAUAAACAUGGAAGUAAACUGAGGCUAUUACAUUGUUAUUUUGUCAUCAUAAAAAAGUGGAUAUUGUUAGAUCUAAGUUGAUUUUAAUGAUGCAAAAUAACGAAUUAUUCUUUAUGUACAGAAACAAUCCUUAAGCAAUGGAAAAGGGACAUAGAAGAAUUCAGACGAAAAAGGAAGGAGUAGCGAAAAAUCAAAGGCAAAAUCAAUCAAGGAUUUGGUAUGAGAUCAAGGAGGGUAUUAUAGGAAGGACUUCAAUCAAAGGAGAUCAAGGGCAUGAAAUUAUGCACUGAAGAUUCCUCCAUAUAAGGACGUCAAUCAAGGUAGAAAUCAAGGGAUUUGAUUUGAUAUUUCCAAUAACAGAAAUAUCCACUCAACAAAGGAAGAAAUAAACAAGACCACAAGUCAAGAAAAAUCAACAGAAGAAAUAUUCUACACUUGGAAAGAAUGAAUCUACGAUUCCUUCUCAGAUCAACUCCCUUGGGUUUGCAAUUGCUCAAGACUCACAAGACAUGAAGGCCUCAUAAAGUAUAAAUACCCAUUGCACCAGCUUUGAAGAAAUAUACUUUGAACGAAUCACUAUCACUCUUUUUGUUCUACUCCAAACAAAUAUUGUAAUUUACGUUAGAUCUGUUGUGUAAUUAGUGAGUAGAAAAAGAAAAAAAUACUAGUGAGGCAUUGUAUCAAGAAGCGAGAAGUGAGAUAGUAACUAAGCUGUUGGUGUAAAGCUAUAUCAACUCUCUUGUAUCGAGAAACUUCAAAUACUGAAAGAAAGAAUAGGAUUCACAUUGAAUCCGAACCAGUAUAAAAAUCCAGG